rnacentral:rRNA from 1 species
AUGAACGCUAGCGGCGUGGAUAAGGCAUGCAAGUCAAACGGUUCCGCAGCAAUGCGGAAUAGUGGCGAACGGGUUAGUAACACGUAGAUACUAACCCCACUCACGGGCAUAACUCCGCGAAAGCGGAGCUAAUUCCCGAUGGUCCCUGAAGCCGUAAGGCCGAAGGGUAAAGGCGUAAGCCGGAAUGGGAUUGGUCUGCGUCCUAUCAGUUAGUUGGUGAGGUAAUGGCUCACCAAGGCAAUGACGGGUAGCGGUUCUGAGAGGAUGAUCCGCCACACUGGUACUGAGACACGGACCAGACUCCUACGGGAGGCAGCAGUGAGGAAUAUUGCACAAUGGGGGGAACCCUGAUGCAGCAACGCCGCGUGGAGGAUGACGCAUUUCGGUGUGUAAACUCCUUUUAUAUGUCAAGAAAAUGACGGUAGCAUAUGAAUAAGCACCGGCUAACUCCGU